ensembl:lncRNA
AGACGCUCCAGAAAGUUCUCUACAUGGAGCUGAGACUCCCUGAAGCUGCCAUGUAAUGUUUUUCCUUCUCAGGGAAACAAAUGAGACUGUAAAAUAAAACGGAGACCAGGCUUGGAAAUCCCCAGGCUGACAAAACUAAGCCACGUAAGCAGAACUAACUCUAACUUAUUUCAUGAACACAAACAAAACUUAAUUGAUGUUAUUUCUUAUAAAUGUCUCUGAUAAUCAUAAAUGAAACUUAAGUCAUCUUCCUAAAAUGGUACAAGAUAAUCACUUUUAACCAAUUGCCUGCCAUCUGGAAACCUCCAUUGUAAUAACCCAUCCUUAUAACUCAAAGGUUCAACAACUUCCUCAUUUUCACUUUAUACGCCAUCUUGUAGUGUCAUGCCUCUGAGCUUCAUCUCACUUUUGGGUUGGAAGACUCCCAGUUUGUGAUCCAUUCUUUUGUGCGCAAUAAACUCUUACUAAAUACUAUUCUACUGGUCUGGUUUUAAUUUUUGCUGUCUCAGGAUUUCUGGCAAGACACGCAGACUGUGUCUAUUAUUAACUAUUUUAAGCAGAGCACCCCAGGGUCUGGGUGUCCUUCUCAGAGAUGUACCACCCCUUUGUCACAUGAGAGAAAAGCGUGUAGUGUUUGCCACCUCCCAUUUAAUGCUCCUUUGUUUAUAAGCAUGCUCCCUUGCCUGUUCUGCUGGUUUCAACACUAGGAAGAAAUGUGUGUCCCUUUGGAACUUAAAAAAGACGAAAUGCUUAUGAAUGGAUUUUCCCAUAAGGUGGGUUAUCUGUAGGCUGUCCUCCUUUUCUGCAGCAACAGAGUGAGCAAUACAAGCUUUGGGGCUCUGCCACUCACAUAGUUGAAGAUUCCCACCUCACAAGGCAUCUGGGUAAAGAUGGUUCAUUGAACACAUAUGUUUACUUCUGCUCCCCCCAUCAUUGCACUCAACUGCCAGUAGGGUGUUUUUCAAAAAGCUUAAACCUAUAAGGACAACGAGAAUAGAAAAACGUAGCACUUUGGGGGAGCUGGGAGUCAAAUGGACCUAAGAAAGCUAAACUGAAGUGGAGGUGAAAGCAAUGGCAGUGACUCAGAAGGCUCAGAAUCUGGGCCAGGUUCAAGCACAUACGGAGGCGAGUGUGGGCUGCAAAUAGAGGAUUGAUUGGGAGCCUAUGGAAGGAGGAUUAACCCCCAUCCCUUCCCCAACCCUGGCAGAAGAGUGGUGAUUACACUCGGAGAUAAUGAAACUGUGGCCUGUGGAACGUAAGGCUCAGCGGAGGGUGGACGCCGUCGGGGCUGGAGUGAGAAUCUACAUCAUGAGCUCCAGUCCCGUUCUGACUUUUGGGACCCAUAACACUGGAAGUAAGGCUAUUCUAUACCUCGGAGCAGGAGAUGCAAUGAUUCUUCUCAGGAAUCUGGGUAGCCCAAGAGAAAUAUUUAAAGAUCCUGUCAAAAGAAAAAUUCAGACUUUUACUUGAUAUGAAUAUUUUAUUGUGCGCGAAACAAAUGUUCCAGAAUAGGGAGAUUUCAAACCCAAAGCUGGUAUGAAGCUCAGAGGCAUGAUGUUACAGGAUGGCUUAUAAAGUGAAAAUGAGGAAGUUGUUUAACAUUUGCAAUGAUUGGUUAUUACAGUGGGAGUUUCCAGAUGGCGGGGGAUUGGUGAAAAGCGAUUAUCCUGUACCGUUGAAGGAAGAUGACAAGUUUCAUUUACGAUUAUCAGAGGCAUUUACAGGAAAUAGCUUGUUAAGUUUUGCUUAUGUUCAUGGAAUGAGCCAGAUUUAGUUCUGCUUAUGUGGCUUAGUGGGUUUGACUGCUAGAGGGAUUUUCAAGCCUGGUCUUCAUUCUGUUUUAUUGUGACGGUUCUGACUGUGGAGGGCCUCCUAACCACGUGGUCAAGUGGAUUACCUCAUAGUAAAGCUCCCUAGUAAAUAAGCUUUGCCCCACCCACACUGGGCAUCCCAGGAAGGCAUCCAGCAACAGAGACGUAAAAGAAAAUAAAAGAGAAGGAAAAAAAGAGAAAAGGAGAAAUGAAAUGAAAACAGUAACUUAAAGAAAACAGAGACUUUUUCAAAAGAAGACAACUAAGAAAAUUAAAUGCUCAGACAGAUAAGAAGAGAGAUUGUAUCCAUGUAACAAAAGCAAGAUGCUAUAAAAAGGAACAUUCAGAGAACCAAAAAGAACUCUUGAAAAUUCAAAAGAAGAUAGUAGAAAUGUAAAACUCGAUACCAAGUAUGGAAGACCAGAAUAGAGAUCAAAAAAAUAGAAAUGGAAACUAAUAUAUGUUCUAAGGAGAGAGAAUAUAGAAUAGAGAAGGAAAAAUUAUCAAAAAAAAAAAAAAAGGAAUGUUUUCGGAACCAAACGGCAUGAGUUUCUAGACUAACAGAUCUCUGAAUGCCCAGCCUAAUGGAUGAAAAAGACGAACACAAAAGCAAAUCAUUAUGGGAUUUCAGAACUGUGGGGACAAAAAGAAGAUCCUCAAAGUUUCUAGAGAAAAAAAAGAAGUCACAAUCAAAAGACCAAGUAUCAAGAUAGCAUCAGAUUGCACACAAAUAGCAAAAGAAGAUAAAAGACAAGAUCCCCUUUAUAAUUCUGAAGGGAUUGUAACAAUGUUGAACAACCUUCAGUUCUAUGCUUAGCCAAAAGAAUCAAUUAAGUAGGAGCAUACAAUCAAUUAUCAGGCACGCAAGCUUCUCAAGAUUUCCCUCCUCUGCAACCUUUCUCAGCAAGCUACUGGAGAAGGGCCCUACCAAAAUAAGGGAGUGAGCCAAGAAGUAGAAGAUAUCAGAGCUAAGAAACAGAUGAACCAGUGUAAGAGAGAGGAAAAAUGGAUUCGCAAGAUGAUUGUGAUGGCCCCUGACAUGAAGCAAGACGACAGCAGGUCCAGGAAAGAUGUCUCCGAGAAGAAGCAGCUGAUAAAAACACAAGGUCUUUAAGUGCAUUGAAGGGAGAUUUACACACGUCAUAGGAGUUCAGAGAUUUGUGAUAGGCAUAUAAGAAAUUACGUAACUGAAUGAAAAAUAAGUUGUUAACUCCAAGGCAGAGGAGUGGAGGCGUGAAGCAAGAAAGGAAAUGAAAUCGUAGUGUACUACCUGGCUCAGCUGUGAAUGUGAUUACACAAUCAUGGGAAAAUAAUCAUGGGAUAAAUUCUCAUUUUCGAAUAGUGGGAAGUCAAUAGAUGACGACCAAAACUGGGAGGUUAAGAUUUUGCAGCAUAGCAAAUAUUUACUCAGGGCUUGCUCUACAUCGGAAACCACACUAGGUAUGAGGACACAAUGCUGAGCUGAACCAGACAGUGCAUGUCAUUCUGAUGAGCAGCCUGGGACCAGAAGCCUUCUCCUGUACCUCCGAUAGAAGCCUGGAUGUGCCACCCUCAGAACAGAGGACUUUGUCCAUGCACUGAUGUGAAUCACCCAGAUUGAUAGAUUGGGGUGUGAGGGCUAGUGGACAGUCUGGCCAACGUCCCAGGACUCCCCUCUCAACUCAACUUUGUUAUUCUUUAAUCUUUACGGCACGCAUAUUUACUAGGGACUAAUUUGGGGAUUCAUGAAUUGAUUCAUUCAAUCAACAAAUAUUUCUUGAGUUCUCGCUGCAUGUCAGGCAUGGUGGUAGGUCCUGAAGAUGCAAUGGUGAACAAAAUUGGCAAAGAUCUUGCAUUCAUGGGGCUUAUAUUCUGGUG